rnacentral:rRNA from 1 species
UACGUAGGGGGCUAGCGUUGUCCGGAAUCAUUGGGCGUAAAGAGCGUGUAGGCGGUCCGGUAAGUCCGCUGUGAAAGUCGGGGGCUCAACCCUCGGAAGCCGGUGGAUACUGUCGGGCUCGAGUACGGAAGAGGCGAGUGGAAUUCCUGGUGUAGCGGUGAAAUGCGCAGAUAUCAGGAGGAACACCAAUUGCGAAGGCAGCUCGCUGGGACGUAACUGACGCUGAGACGCGAAAGCGUGGGGAGCAAACAGG